rnacentral:rRNA from 1 species
CUACGGGAGGCAGCAGUGGGGAAUAUUGCACAAUGGGCGCAAGCCUGAUGCAGCCAUGCCGCGUGAGUGAAGAAGGCCUUAGGGUUGUAAAACUCUUUCACCGGUGAAGAUAAUGACGGUAGCCGGAGAAGAAGCCCCGGCCAACUCCGUGCCAGCAGCCGCGGUAAU